GUCAUGUACCUGCAGCAGACUCUAUACUCUGAAAGUAAAGUCUGUAGUUCCCAUGCAACGGGGACGAGCAUGAUUUAAAGGGGGGAGGGUGUAACCCGGGUGUUUUUCCGCUCCCCUUGGCCUUGGUGCACUGUCUCUUUAAAUGGGGCGCCACACCACGGCUCGCGAGUGUUGUGGGUCUCGGGAGUGUCUGAGCUGCUGCAGAUGCCUCCUGCUGUAUGACGAUGUGCUGAGAAUGACUAUUAAGCGGAACUGGCCAGGUUCCAGUAUUGGAUGGCGAGCUAGAAGGCCCCGAGCCUGGACAUAUUGAGUGCGCCCGUCCGCCGGUGCGGUAGGAGGCGCUGCAGCCACUCCCCACACACACCCACUUGCACACACGCACACUAACAACCUCCGCUG